ACUCGGAAUGCCGCGAGACUUUGUGAGGGGCCUCCGUGUGCCAAAAAUAGGCCACGGGCAAAGCCAUGCCCAAACAUAACCGCCCGAAGGCCGUGGCGCCAAGUUCGUCCAACGGAAAAAGGCCACAAAAACGGGUGGGCUAUAACCUUGGGUGGUGGGGCUGGCCCACUUCGUCCGCCGGACUCGGAAUGCCACGAGUCUUUGCGAGGGGGCUCCGUGUGCCAAAAAUAGGCCGCGGCCAAAGCUGCGCCCAAAAAUAACCGCCCGAAGGCCGGGGCGCAAAGUUCGUCCAGCGGAAAAAGGCCACAAACACGGGUGGACUAUAGCUUUGGGGGGUGGGGCUGGCCAACUUCGUCCGCCGGACUCGGAAUGGUGCCAGAGUUUGCGAGGCGCCCCCGUGUGCCAGAAAUAGGCCACGGGCGCAGCAGCGCCCAAAAAUAACCGCCCGAAGGCCGGGCUGCCAAGUUCGUCCAGCGGUAAAAGGCCACAAAAACAGGCGGGCUAUAGCCUUGGGCGGUGGGGCUGGCCAACUUCGUCCGCCGGACUCGGAAUGCCGCGAGACUUUGCGAGGGGCCUCCGUGUGCCAAAAAUAGGCUGUGGGCAACGCCGUAUCCAAAAAUAACCUCUCGAAGGCCGGGGCGCCAAGUUCAUCCAGCGGAAAAAGGGGACAAAAACGGGUGGACUAUAGCCUUGGGGGGUGGGGCUCGCCAACUUCGUCCGCCGGACUCGGAAUGCCGCAAGCCUUUGCGAGGGGUCUCCGUGUGCCAAAAAUAGGCCGCGGGCAAAGCUGCGCCCGAGAAUAACGGCCCGAAGGCCGGGGCGCCAAGUUCGUCCAGCGGAAAAAGGCCACAAAAACGGGUGGGCUAUAGCCUUGAGGGGUGGGGCAGGCCAACUUCGUCCACCGGACUCGGAAUUCCGCGAGACUUUGCGAGGGGCCUCCGUGUGCCAAAAAUAGGCCGCGGGCACAGCCACGCCCAAAAAUAACCGCCAGAAGGCCGGGGCGCCAAGUUCGUCCAGCGGAAAAAGGCCACAAAAACUGGUGGGCUAUAGCCUUGGGGGGUGGGGCUGGCCCACUUCGUCCGCCAGACUCGGAAUGGCGCGAGACUUUGCGAGGCACCUCCGUGUGCCAAACAUUGGCCGCGGGCACCGCCGCGCCCAAAAAUAACCGCCCGAAGGCCGGGGCGCCAAGUUCGUCCAGCGGAAAAAGACCCCAAAAACGGGUGGGCUAUAGCCUUGGGGGGUGGGGCUGGCCAACUUCGUCUUCCGGACUCGGAAUGGUGCCAGACUUUGCAAGAUACCUCCGUGUGCCAAAAAUACACCGUGGGCACAGGCGCGCCCAAAAAUAACCGUCCAAAGGCCGGGGUGCCAAGUUCGUCCAGCGGAAAAAGGCCCCAAAACGGGUGGGCUAUAGCCUUGGGGGGUGGGGCUGGCCAACUUCAUCCGCUGGACUCGGAAUGGCGUAAAACUUUGCGAGGCGCCUCCGUGUGCCAAAAAUAGGCCGCGGGCACAGCCGCGCCCAAAAUUAACCGCCCGAAGGCCGGGCCGCCAAGUUCGUCCAGCGGAAAAAGGCCACAAAAACGGGUGGGCUAUAGGCUUGGGGGGUGGGGCUGGCCAACUUCGUCCGCCGGACUCGGAAUGCCGCGAGACUUUGCGAGGCUCCUCCGUGUGUCAAAAUAGGCCGCGGGCACAGCCACACCCAAAAAUAACCGCCCGACGCCGGGGUGCCAAGUUCGUCCAGCGGAAAAGCCCCAAAACGGGUGGGCUAUAGCCUUGGGGGGUGGGGCUGGCCAACUUCUUCCGCCGACUUCGGAUGGGCGUGAUACUUUGCGAGGCGUCUCCGUGUACCAAAAAUAGGCCGCGGGCACAGCCACGCCCAAAAAUAACCGGCCGAAGGCUGGGGCGCCAAGUUUGUCCAGCGGAAAAAGCCCACAAAAACGGGUGGGCCAUAGCCUUGGGGGGUGGGGCUGACCAACUUCGUCCGCCGGACUCGGAUUGGCGCGAAACUUUGCGAGGCGACUCCGUGUGCCAAAAAUAGGCCGCGGGAAGAGCCGCGCCCAAAAUUAACCGCGCGAAGGCCGGGUCGCCGAGUUCGUCCAGCGGAAAAAGGCCACAAAAACGGGUGGGCUAUAGCCUUGGGGGGUGGGGCUGGCCAACUUCGUCCGCCGGACUCGGAAUGCCGCGAGACUUUGCGAGGUGCCUCCGUGUGCCAAAAAUAGGCCGCGGGCACAGCCGCGCCCAAAAAUAACCACCCGAAGGCCGGGGUGCCAAGUUCGUGCAGCGGAAAAAGGCCCCAAAAACGGGUGGGCUAUAGCCUUGGGGGGUGGGACUGGCCAACUUCAUCCGCUGCACUCGGAAUGGCGCGAAACUUUGCGAGGCGCCUCCAUGUGCAAAAAAUAGGCCGCGGGCACAGCCGCGCGGAAAAAUAACCGCCCGAAGGCCGGGGCGCCAAGUUCGUCCAGCGGAAAAUCCCACAAAAACGGGUGGGCUAUAGCCUUGGGGGGUGGGGCUGGCCAACUUCGUCCGCCGCACUCGGAUUGGCGCGAUACUUUGCGAGGCGACUCCGUGUGCCAAAAAUAGGCCGUGGGAAGAGCCGCGCCCAAAAUUAACCGCCCGAAGGCCGGUCCGCCAAGUUCGUCCUGCGGAAAUAGGCCACAAAAACGGGUGGGCUAUAGCCUUGGGGGUGGGGCUGGCCAACUUCGUCCGCCGGACUCGGAUUGGCGCGAUACUUUGCGAGGCGACUCCAUGUGCCAAAAAUAGGCCGCGGGCACAGCCGCGCCCAAAAAUAACCACCCGAAGGCCGGGGCGCCAAGUUCGUCCAGCGGAAAAAGGCCCCAAAAACGGGUGGGCUAUAGCCUUGGGGGGUGGGGCUGGCCAACUUCAUCCGCUGCACUCGGAAUGGCGCGAAACUUUGCGAGGCGCCUCCAUGUGCAAAAAAUAGGCCGCGGACACAGCCGCGCGGAAAAAUAACCGCCCGAAGGCCGGGGCGCCAAGUUCGUCCAGCGGAAAAUCCCACAAAAACGGGUGGGCUAUAGCCUUGGGGGGUGGGGCUGGCCAACAUCGUCCGCCGGACUCGGAUUGGCGCGAUACUUUGCGAGGCGUCUCCGUGUACCAAAAAUAGGCCGCGGGCACAGCCGUGCCCAAAAAUAACCGCCCGAAGGCCGGGGCGCCAAGUUCGUCCUGCGGAAAAAGCCCACAAAAACGGGUGGGCUAUAGCCUUGGGGGGUGGGGCUGGCCAACUUCGUCCGCCGGACUCGGAUUGGCGCGAUACUUUGCGAGGCGACUCCGUGUGCCAAAAAUAGGCCACGGGAAGAGCCGCGCCCAAAAAUAACCGCCCGAAGGCCGGGCCGCCUAGUUCGUCCAGCGGAAAAAGGCCACAAAAACGGGUGGGCUAUAGCCUUGGGNNNNNNNNNNNNNNNNNNNNNNNNNNNNNNNNNNNNNNNNNNNNNNNNNNNNNNNNNNNNNNNNNNNNNNNNNNNNNNNNNNNNNNNNNNNNNNNNNNNNNNNNNNNNNNNNNNNNNNNNNNNNNNNNNNNNNNNNNNNNNNNNNNNNNNNNNNNNNNNNNNNNNNNNNNNNNNNNNNNNNNNNNNNNNNNNNNNNNNNNNNNNNNNNNNNNNNNNNNNNNNNNNNNNNNNNNNNNNNNNNNNNNNNNNNNNNNNNNNNNNNNNNNNNNNNNNNNNNNNNNNNNNNNNNNNNNNNNNNNNCCGGGCCGCCAAGUUCGUCCGCGGAAAAGGCCACAAAAACGGGUGGGCUAUAGGCUUGGGGGGUGGGGCUGGCCAACUUCGUCCGCCGGACUCGGAAUGCCGCGAGACUUUGCGAGGCUCCUCCGUGUGUCAAAAUAGGCCGCGGGCACAGCCACACCCAAAAAUAACCGCCCGAAGGCCGGGGUGCCAAGUUCGUCCAGCGGAAAAAGGCCCCAAAAACGGGUGGGCUAUAGCCUUGGGUGGUGGGGCUGGCCAACUUCGUCCGCCGGACUCGGAUUGGCGUGAUACUUUGCGAGGCGUCUCCGUGUACCAAAAAUAGGCCGCGGGCACAGCCACGCCCAAAAAUAACCGGCCGAAGGCCGGGGCGCCAAGUUUGUCCAGCGGAAAAAGCCCACAAAAACGGGUGGGCUAUAGCCUUGGGGGGUGGGGCUGACCAACUUCGUCCGCCGGACUCGGAUUGGCGCGAAACUUUGCGAGGCGACUCCGUGUGCCAAAAAUAGGCCGCGGGAAGAGCCGCGCCCAAAAUUAACCGCGCGAAGGCCGGGUCGCCGAGUUCGUCCAGCGGAAAAAGGCCACAAAAACUGGUGGGCUAUAGCCUUGGGGGGUGGGGCUGGCCAACUUCGUCCGCCGGACUCGGAAUGCCGCGAGACUUUGCGAGGUGCCUCCGUGUGCCAAAAAUAGGCCGCGGGCACAGCCGCGCCCAAAAAUAACCGCCCGAAGGCCGGGGCGCCAAGUUCGUCCAGCGGAAAAUCCCACAAAAACGGGUGGGCUAUAGCCUUGGGGGGUGGGGCUGGCCAACAUCGUCCGCCGGACUCGGAUUGGCGCGAUACUUUGCGAGGCGUCUCCGUGUACCAAAAUAGGCCGCGGGCACAGCCGCCGCCAAAAAUAACCGCCCGAAGGCCGGGGCGNNNNNNNNNNNNNNNNNNNNNNNNNNNNNNNNNNNNNNNNNNNNNNNNNNNNNNNNNNNNNNNNNNNNNNNNNNNNNNNNNNNNNNNNNNNNNNNNNNNNNNNNNNNNNNNNNNNNNNNNNNNNNNNNNNNNNNNNNNNNGAAGAGCCGCGCCCAAAAUUAACCGCACGAAGCCCGGGCCGCCAAGUUCGUCCAGCGGAAAAAGGCCACAAAAACGGGGGGGGCUAUAGGCUUGGGGGGUGGGGCUGGCCAACUUCGUCCGCCGGACUCGGAAUGCCGCGAGACUUUACGAGGCCCCUCCGUGUUCCAAAAUAGGCCGCGGGCACAGCCACACCCAAAAAUAACCGCCCGAAGGCCGGGGUGCCAAGUUCGUCCAGCGGAAAAAGGCCCCAAAAAUGGGUGGGCUAUAGCCUUGGGGGGUGGGGCUGGCCAACUUCGUCCGCCGGACUCGGAUUGGCGUGAUACUUUGCAAGGCGUCUCCGUGUACCAAAAAUAGGCCGCGGGCACAGCCACGCCCAAAAAUAACCGGCCGAAGGCCGGGGCGCCAAGUUCGUCCAGCGGAAAAAGCCCACAAAAACGGGUGGGCUAUAGCCUUGGGGGGUGGGGCUGACCAACUUCGUCCGCCGGACUCGGAUUGGCGCGAAACUUUGCGAGGCGACUCCGUGUGCCAAAAAUAGGCCGCGGCAAGAGCCGUGCCCAAUAUUAACCGCGCGAAGGCCGGGUCGCCGAGUUCGUCCAGCGGAAAAAGGCCACAAAAACGGGUGGGCUAUAGCCUUGGGGGGUGGGGCUGGCCAACUUCGUCCGCCGGACUCGGAAUGCCGCGAGACUUUGUGAGGUGCCUCCGUGUGCCAAAAAUAGGCCGCGGGCACAGCCGCGCCCAAAAAUAACCGCCCGAAGGCCGGGGUGCCAAGUUCGUCCAGCGGAAAAAGGCCCCAAAAACGGGUGGGCUAUAGCCUUGGGGGGUGGGGCUGGCCAACUUCAUCCGCUGCAUUCGGAAUGGCGCGAAACUUUGUGAGGCGUCUCCAUGUGCAAAAAAUAGGCCGCGGGCACAGCCGCGUGGAAAAAUAACCGCCCGAAGGCCGGGGCGCCAAGUUCGUCCAGCGGAAAAUCCCACAAAAACGGGUGGGCUAUGGCCUUGGGGGGUGGGGCUGGCCAACUUCGUCCGCCGCACUUGGAAUGGCGCGAGACUUUGCGAGGUGCCUCCGUGUGCCAAAAAUAGGCCGCGGGCACAGCCGCGGCCAAAAAUAACCGCCCGAAGGCUGGGGCACCAAGUUCGUCCAGCGGAAAAAGGCCCCAAAAACGGGUGGGCUAUAGCCUUGGGGGGUGGGGCUGGCCAACUUCAUCUGCUGGGCUCGGAAUGGCGCGAAACAUUUCGAGGUGCCUCCGUGUGCCAAAAAUAGGCCGCAGGCACAGCCUUGCCAAAAAAUAACCCCCCGAAGGCCGGGGCGCCACGUUCGUCCAGCGGAAAAAGCCCACAAAAACGGGUGGGCGAUAGCCUUGGGGGGUGGGACUGGCCAACUUCGUCCGCCGGACUCGGAUUGGCGCGAUACUUUGCGAGGCGUCUCCGUGUACCAAAAAUAGGCCGCGGGCACAGCCGUGCCCAAAAAUAACCGCCCGAAGGCCGGGGCGCCAAGUUCGUCCUGCGGAAAAAGCCCACAAAAACGGGUGGGCUAUAGCCUUGGGGGGUGGGGCUGGCCAACUUCGUCCGCCGGACUCGGAUUGGCGCGAUACUUUGCGAGGCGACUCCGUGUGCCAAAAAUAGGCCCCGGGAAGAGCCGCGCCCAAAAAUAACCGGCCGAAGGCCGGGCCCCCAAGUUCGUCCAGCGGAAAAAGGCCACAAAAACGGGUGGGCUAUAGGCUUCGGGGGUGGGGCUGGCCAACUUCGUCCGCCGGACUCGGAAUGCCGCGAGACUUUACGAGGCGCCUCCGUGUGCCAAAAUAGGCCGCGGGCACAGCCACACCCAAAAAUAACCGCCCGAAGGCCGGGGUGCCAAGUUCGUCCAGCGGAAAAAGGCCCCAAAAACGGGUGGGCUAUAGCCUUGGGGGGUGGGGCUGGCCAACUUCGUCCGCCGGACUCGGAUUGGCGCGAAACUUUGCGAGGCGACUCCGUGUGCCAAAAAUAGGCCGCGGGAAGAGCCGCGCCCAAAAUUAACCGCGCGAAGGCCGGGUCGCCGAGUUCGUCCAGCGGAAAAAGGCCACAAAAACGGGUGGGCUAUAGGCUUGGGGGGUGGGGCUGGCCAACUUCGUCCGCCGGACUCGGAAUGCCGCGAGACUUUACGAGGCGCCUCCAUGUGCCAAAAUAGGCCGCGGGCACAGCCACACCCAAAAAUAACCGCCCGAAGGCCGGGGUGCCAAGUUCGUCCAGCGGAAAAAGGCCCCAAAAACGGGUGGGCUAUAGCCUUGGGGGGUGGGGCUGGCCAACUUCGUCCGCCGGACUCGGAUUGGCGCGAAACUUUGCGAGGCGACUCCGUGUGCCAAAAAUAGGCCGCGGGCACAGCCACGCCCAAAAAUAACCGGCCGAAGGCCGGGGUGCCAAGUUCGUCCAGCGGAAAAAGGCCCCAAAAACGGGUGGGCUAUAGCCUUGGGGGGUGGGGCUGGCCAACUUCGUCCGCCGGACUCGGAUUGGCGUGAUACUUUGCGAGGCAUCUCCGUGUACCAAAAUAGGCCGCGGGCACAGCCACGUCCAAAAAUAACCGGCCGAAGGCCGGGGCGCCAAGUUCGUCCAGCGGAAAAAGCCCAAAAAAACGGGUGGGCUAUAGCCUUGGGGGGUGGGGCUGACCAACUUCGUCCGCCGGACUCGGAUUGGCGCGAAACUUUGCGAGGCGACUCCGUGUGCCAAAAAUAGGCCGCGGGAAGAGCCGCGCCCAAAAUUAACCGCGCGAAGGCCGGGUCGCCGAGUUCGUCCAGCGGAAAAAGGCCACAAAAACGGGUGGGCUAUAGCCUUGGGGGGUGGGGCUGGCCAACUUCGUCCGCCGGACUCGGAAUGCCGCGAGACUUUGUGAGGUGCCUCCGUGUGCCAAAAAUAGGCCGCGGGCACAGCCGCGCCCAAAAAUAACUGCCCGAAGGCCGGGGUGCCAAGUUCGUCCAGCGGAAAAAGGCCCCAAAAACGGGUGGGCUAUAGCCUUGGGGGGUGGGGCUGGCCAACUUCAUCCGCUGCAUUCGGAAUGGCGCGAAACUUUGCGAGGCGCCUCCAUGUGCAAAAAAUAGGCCGCGGGCACAGCCGCGUGGAAAAAUAACCGCCCGAAGGCCGGGGCGCCAAGUUCGUCCAGCGGAAAAUCCAACAAAAACGGGUGGGCUAUGGCCUUGGGGGGUGGGGCUGGCCAACUUCGUCCGCCGCACUUGGAAUGGCGCGAGACUUUGCGAGGUGCCUCCGUGUGCCAAAAAUAGGCCGCGGGCACAGCCGCGCCCAAAAAUAACCGCCCGAAGGCUGGGGCGCCAAGUUCGUCCAGCGGAAAAAGGCCCCAAAAACGGGUGGGCUAUAGCCUUGGGGGGUGGGGCUGGCCAACUUCAUCUGCUGGGCUCGGAAUGGCGCGAAACAUUUCGAGGUGCCUCCGUGUGCCAAAAAUAGGCCGCAGGCACAGCCGUGCCAAAAAAUAACCCCCCGAAGGCCGGGGCGCCACGUUCGUCCAGCGGAAAAAGCCCACAAAAACGGGUGGGCGAUAGCCUUGGGGGGUGGGACUGGCCAACUUCGUCCGCCGGACUCGGAUUGGCGCGAUACUUUGCGAGGCGUCUCCGUGUACCAAAAAUAGGCCGCGGGCACAGCCAUGCCCAAAAAUAACCGCCCGAAGGCCGGGGCGCCAAGUUCGUCCUGCGGAAAAAGCCCACAAAAACGGGUGGGCUAUAGCCUUGGGGGGUGGGGCUGGCCAACUUCGUCCGCCGGACUCGGAUUGGCGCGAUACUUUGCGAGGCGACUCCGUGUGCCAAAAAUAGGCCACGGGAAGAGCCGCGCCAAAAAAUAACCGGCCGAAGGCCGGGCCGCCAAGUUCGUCCAGCGGAAAAAGGCCACAAAAACGGGUGGGCUAUAGGCUUCGGGGGUGGGGCUGGCCAACUUCGUCCGCCGGACUCGGAAUGCCGCGAGACUUUACGAGGCGCCUCCGUGUGCCAAAAUAGGCCGCGGGCACAGCCACACCCAAAAAUAACCGCCCGAAGGCCGGGGUGCCAAGUUCGUCCAGCGGAAAAAGGCCCCAAAAACGGGUGGGCUAUAGCCUUGGGGGGUGGGGCUGGCCAACUUCGUCCGCCGGACUCGGAUUGGCGCGAAACUUUGCGAGGCGACUCCGUGUGCCAAAAAUAGGCCGCGGGCACAGCCACGCCCAAAAAUAACCGGCCGAAGGCCGGGGUGCCAAGUUCGUCCAGCGGAAAAAGGCCCCAAAAACGGGUGGGCUAUAGCCUUGGGGGGUGGGGCUGGCCAACUUCGUCCGCCGGACUCGGAUUGGCGUGAUACUUUGCGAGGCAUCUCCGUGUCCCAAAAAUAGGCCGCGGGCACAGCCACGCGCAAAAAUAACCGGCCGAAGGCCGGGGCGCCAAGUUCGUCCAGCGGAAAAAGCCCACAAAAAAGGGUGGGCUAUAGCCUUUGGGGGUGGGGCUGACCAACUUCGUCCGCCGGACUUGGAUUGGCGCGAAACUUUGCGAGGCGACUCCGUGUGCCAAAAAUAGGCCGCGGGAAGAGCCGCGCCCAAAAUUAACCGCGCGAAGGCCGGGUCGCCGAGUUCGUCCAGCGGAAAAAGGCCACAAAAACGGGUGGGCUAUAGCCUUGGGGGGUGGGGCUGGCCAACUUCGUCCGCCGGACUCGGAAUGCCGCGAGACUUUGUGAGGUGCCUCCAUGUGCCAAAAAUAGGCCGCGGGCACAGCCGCGCCCAAAAAUAACCGCCCGAAGGCCGGGGUGCCAAGUUCGUCCAGCGGAAAAAGGCCCCAAAAACGGGUGGGCUAUAGCCUUGGGGGGUGGGGCUGGCCAACUUCAUCCGCUGCACUCGGAAUGGCGCGAAACUUUGCGAGGCGCCUCCAUGUGCAAAAAAUAGGCCGCGGGCACAGCCGCGCGGAAAAAUAACCGCCCGAAGGCCGGGGCGCCAAGUUCGUCCAGCGGAAAAUCCCACAAAAACGAGUGGGCUAUAGCCUUGGGGGGUGGGGCUGGCCAACUUCGUCCGCCGGACUCGGAAUGGCGCGAGACUUUGCGAGGUCCCUCCGUGUGCCAAAAAUAGGCCGUGGGCACAGCCGCGCCCAAAAAUAACCGCCCGAAGGCCGGGACGCCAAGUUCGUCCAGCGGAAAAAGGCCAUAAAAACGGGUGGGCUGUAGCCGUGGGGGGUGGGGCUGGCCAACUUCGUCCGCCGGACUCGGAAUGGCGAGAGACUUUGCGAGGCGCCUCCGUGUGCCAAAAAUAGGCCGCGGGAACAGCCGCGCCCAAAAAUAACCGCCCGAAGGUUGGGGCGCCAAGUUCGUCCAGCGGAAAAACGCCACAAAAACGGGUGGGCUAUAGCCUUGGGGGGUGGGGCUGGCCAACUUCGUCCGCCGGACUCGGAAUGGCGCGAGACUUUGCGAGGCCCCUCCGUGUGCCAAAAAGAGGCCGCGGGCACAGCCGCACCCAAAAAUAACCGCUCGAAGGCCGGGGCGCCAAGUUCGUCCUGCGUAAAAAGGCCACAAAAACGGGUGGGCUAUAGCCUUCGGGGGUGGGGCUGGCCAACUUCGUCCGCCGGACUCGGAAUGGCGCGAGACUUUGCGAGGCGCCUCCGUGUGCCAAAAAUAGGCUGCGGGCACAGACGCGCCCAAAAAUAACCUCCCGAAGGCUGGNNN
rnacentral:lncRNA from 1 species